UGCCAGCAGCCGCGGUAAUACGGAGGAUGCAAGCGUUGUUCGGAAUUAUUGGGCGUAAAGAGUACGUAGGCUGCCUUGAAGGUGAGAUGUGAAAUCCCAUGGCCUAACCAUGGAACUGCAUUUCAAACCACAAGGCUUGAGGGAGACAGGGGUAAGCGGAACUCACAGUGGAGCGGUGAAAUGCGUUGAUAUUGUGAGGAACACCGGUGGCGAAGGCGGCUUACUGGGUCUCUUCUGACGCUGAGGUACGAAAGCUAGGGUAGCGAACGGGAUUAGAUA
rnacentral:rRNA from 1 species